CCACAAAUGAAUGUUUGGGGCUGGAGGCUCCCAGAAGGGGGCAGCAGAGCAGAAAUUCUUGAUGAUGGAGAGUAAGGGGGAAGAGGACAUACUACUGAGGAGAGUCAGCAUGGAAAGCAGCCUAGGUCAGCGUAUCCAGGAAGCUAGCUGCCAUCAUGGAGACUCCAACACCAAGUCUCCAAAGUGA
rnacentral:lncRNA from 14 species